AGUUUUUGGUGAGACAUCAAAGCUCCAUAAUUAAGCUAUGAAGAAGAAGAAGGAGAACAUGGUAAGCAAAUGUAUAAACCCCUUUUCGUUUAUAUAAUUUUUGAUGGUUGUAAAUCAAACCUUGAAUCCAUAGUUCUAAACUCAAAAACCUUAGAUCUAUGUGUUAAUGAGUGUUUCAUGUUUAGAUAUAACCAUAUUGAGUAUUGAUUUGGUUGAAAUCAAAA
rnacentral:lncRNA from 1 species